ACAGGAAGGAAGUGAGUAUGUUUCGUUAUGCAAUGUCUUUCGUAUCGUCUGUGUGUCACACAGUCACACCGCUGUGGCCGUGAUGAUGACUGGGGAAUAGUGACACACAUGCAACACACACCAUCUGCCUAUUUCAGGAAGUAUCUGAUGACAAAUCGAUUGGCCCUCGAUUUGCACGCGUGCCUCAAUGCCCCUACCUCCGUAACGCGUGGGUCCACCACGGUGUCAUUCAGGAACUUGACCAUGACGAACUUCUCCAGCAGCUGGAGAUUCUUCUUGUAAGUUUCAUUCACUACCUGCAGAGAAAUUCAAAUCACGGACAUGAGAUUCAAAUCAGUGCAAGGAGAUUCAAAUCGCGGCAAUGAAAUUCACAUCACCCAAAUUAGAGUCACAUCACUGCAAUGAGAAUUAGGAAAGGAAAUACAACCGGAAGAGUGAAAGUAAACCUAUUUUAAAAUAAUUUAACCACUGCAACGUGUUCCCGUGUUCCCCAGGCUCGUGUAUAAGCUUUCUCUGUUCAUCCACACAUUCUCCCUGACGGACUCCCACAGGAGGUUAAGAGCCUGGGUUGAAGCAUGGCACCCUACUGACCCUCUCCUGGUUGAUGUCAGCCAGGAACACGCUGUGUUUCUUGUACAGGUCGUCCUUCAGGGGGUCGUGCCAGUACUGCGCCUGGACCAG